GCCAGAAUAGCUCAGUUGGUAGAGCAACUGAUUUGUAAUCAGUCGGUCGUCGGUUCGAGUCCGACUUCUGGCUCCA
rnacentral:tRNA from 2 species